rnacentral:sRNA from 1 species
UUAAGUAAAGACCUCCUAACUUUAUUUAAUAGAAAUCCUAAACUUUUCUUUUUUUCAUAAUAAUCUCCCUAAAGAAGCCACCAAAUCAGGUGGCUUUUUU